rnacentral:rRNA from 1 species
AUGGAGCAAAAAGCUUCUAAUGCGCAAAGUGACCUAGAGCAGAUGUUAGUCGAUGAAACAAUUGAGCCCAAGGCCUUGCCAUUAUCACUCUUGAAGGACAUCACAAAUGAUUUUUCCGAUGACCGGGAGAUUGGAAGAGGUGGAUUUGCUGUGGUUUAUAAGGGAGUACUUGGCGACAGGUCGGUUGCCGUGAAGAAGUUGUCCAAAGCUUAUAUGCAUGAAACGGAAUUUGACCGAGAGAUUGAAUGCCUCAUGCGGGCUAAGCACAAAAAUGUCGUAAGAUUUCUGGGAUAUUGUGAUGAUAGACAAAGAAGUGCAGAAACGUAUGAUGGAAAACUUAUCAUGGCAGAUAUACAACAAAGAUUGCUUUGUUUUGAGUACAUACCUAAUGGGAGUCUUGAUUUGUAUCUUAACGAUGCACAUCGUGAUUGGGAUACGUGCUACGAAAUAAUCAAAGGGAUAUGUCACGGUCUGCAAUACCUUCAUGACAAUCGUAUUAUUCACUUGGAUUUGAAACCCGCCAAUAUACUGCUCGACAAUGACAUGGUACCAAAAAUAACUGAUUUUGGCCUGUCAAGACGCUUAGAUGAAAAUCAAAGCCAAGUGCUUACCAAAAAUAUAUCAGGAACAACGGGAUAUUUGGCACCAGAACGUUAUGAAGGGAGUGGAAUCACACGCAGCGGUGACUUGUAUAGUCUUGGUAUUAUUAUUAUGGAAAUACUGACCGGGCAGAAGGGGCAUCAAACUAGUGAGGAUGUACUUGAAAGUUGGAGUGGUAGGUUGGAGAGAUCAAAACAAGACACAGUCUACGAACAAAUACGUGUAUGCUACGAGAUAGCUUUAAAUUGCAUACAGUUCAAUCCAAAGAACAGACCAUCUAGUGCACGAGAAAUGAUUGACCGACUUCACCAAAUGGAAAGUAUCCAGGUAAAUUGA